rnacentral:rRNA from 1 species
UACGGGGGGGGGCAAGCGUUGUUCGGAAUUACUGGGCGUAAAGGGCUCGUAGGCGGCCAACUAAGUCAGACGUGAAAUCCCUCGGCUUAACCGGGGAACUGCGUCUGAUACUGGAUGGCUUGAAUCCGGGAGAGGGAUGCGGAAUUCCAGGUGUAGCGGUGAAAUGCGUAGAUAAUCUGGAGGAACACCGGUGGCGAAGGCGGCAUCCUGGACCGGCAUUGACGCUGAGGAGCGAAAGCCAGGGGAGCAAAGCGGG